CGAGCGGCAGCGACUUAACUGAACCUUCGGGGAACGUUAAGGGCGGCGAGCGGCGGACGGGUGAGUAAUGCCUGGGAAUAUGCCCUGAUGUGGGGGAUAACUAUUGGAAACGAUAGCUAAUACCGCAUAAUCUCUUCGGAGCAAAGAGGGGGACCUUCGGGCCUCUCGCGUCAGGAUUAGCCCAGGUGGGAUUAGCUUGUUGGUGAGGUAAUGGCUCACCAAGGCAACGAUCCCUAGCUGGUCUGAGAGGAUGAUCAGCCACACUGGAACUGAGACACGGUCCAGACUCCUACGGGAGGCAGCAGUGGGGAAUAUUGCACAAUGGGGGAAACCCUGAUGCAGCCAUGCCGCGUGUGUGAAGAAGGCCUUCGGGUUGUAAAGCACUUUCAGUAGGGAGGAAGGUAGUGUAGUUAACACCUGCAUUAUUUGACGUUACCUACAGAAGAAGCACCGGCUAACUCCGUGCCAGCAGCCGCGGUAAUACGGAGGGUGCGAGCGUUAAUCGGAAUUACUGGGCGUAAAGCGCAUGCAGGCGGCCUGUUAAGUCAGAUGUGAAAGCCCGGG
rnacentral:rRNA from 1 species